rnacentral:lncRNA from 1 species
UGCAAACUAAAUGUUUAACUCAAGUUUUAGCAAUAUGAACUCUCCUAAAUACAGUGAUACAGAGAUGCUUCUGAAUGGUUUCAGAACUUCGUUAACACGAUCGAUAUAAUUAAAUGAUAAAAAGAGAUAUCAUUCCACAAAGACAAAAAAGGAUAGCACAACAGGUCAACGUACAGCCUUCAACAAUUCACAAAACUCACACCAC